UAAACUGAAGAGUUUGAUCAUGGCUCAGAUUGAACGCUGGCGGCAGGCUUAACACAUGCAAGUCGAGCGGGGAAGAGUAGCUUGCUACUUUACCUAGCGGCGGACGGGUGAGUAAUGCUUAGGAAUCUGCCUAUUAGUGGGGGACAACAUCUCGAAAGGGAUGCUAAUACCGCAUACGUCCUACGGGAGAAAGCAGGGGACCUUCGGGCCUUGCGCUA
rnacentral:rRNA from 1 species